rnacentral:lncRNA from 1 species
CUUCCGGAGAGGACGCGAAGGGGUUAACUUCUGGUCUGUUGUUUCCAUUCUGUCUCCGCCUCCCACCCCCGCGUCCCCCUCCCGCGGGACCUCUGGGAUUGGUUGGCACUCUGCCAUCAGGCUGUCAAUCAUUGAGUGUAAACAAGGCGCUGAUUGGCUGUUGUCCAGUCCGCAAUGGGCCUCCUGAAAAAAGCAAUUACUGCCUCCGCGGUUUCAAGGCGGCCCAAGGCCGCUUGAUGAAAGGAGAUAAGCUGGGGACAGUUUCCAGGAUCCCCGCGGGCCGACCGGGGCUGCCCGGGAGCGGAGGUGCGGCGGAGAGUCCGAGGAUCAAAGGAAUCCACAGAGAAAAGGGAAGCGGGCGGACAUCCUGGCUAGCCUGGCCCCCCGCGGGCUGCGCUGACCUGAGCAGAACUUUUUUAUGCAGAAAACCUCCUGAGACAGGUGGUGAGAAAUCAAAGCCCUCACAUCGGAGCCGGAAACAAAAGGGCUUUGGAAAAGCUGCUUCGGGGAGCGGGCUGAGCGCUGAACCCGCGUGGGGAGAAGCCGCGGCCUGGUCUCGGGUCUCCACCUGCGCCAAGUCGGCCCAGUCCCCGGGAGCGAGGAGGCGGCCGGAGGCGCCAUAAUCGCUAAUUUAUGGCCUGGGUGACGUGCUUCCCUCUCCCACAAUGGGGCCCGGUGACAUUAAACAGAAAAUUGAUGAGAGGAGCGAAAUCUAAUCUCUUUCCCCGGCGCGCCGGCUCUUUCCCUUCUCUGGGAGGGGGCUGGGACACGAGGAAGAAGGUGGUCGCUUGAACCACGCGCUGGAGGCCUCUCUCCCGGACUCCAGCUCCGGACCCGCGGGUGGGCUGGGGCCUCCUUUCGGCCGGAUCCUCCGGGC